UCACAUGACGUCGCCUGGCGGACAGACCGAGUCCGAGAGCUGGUGUCCAGCCUGAGACUCACCUUCGGCCGCAGUGGAUCGGAUCCGACGUUCUCUGACACCAUCCCUGUUGUCAGGAAGGACUGAAUAAUGAAGACACAAGAUCUGUGGAGGCAAAGGGAUAGUUGAUGCUUCGGGUCGAGGCCCAGCACCAGGACUGUGAGUGUAAAGCGAAGAUAAACAGUAUGAAGAGGGUGACAUCAUGUAAACGUGGAUGGCAAAAGGAUAUUCAUCUACAACUAAAAUUCUCCAUCAAGCACAGCCCGUCAGACUAUUACACAAGAUUCCACUACAUUUGUUGACACCUGCCUACAAAACACCCCUGCUGUAUUCAGACAACCUCCCUGCCUCAAAGUGGAGAUGGUCAGGUCCCAUGGUUUCAAUUUAGCAGCCAAGACGCAAGAAUUGAUACGGGUUAUCUUGUUCCAAAGUUUAACCUUUUCUAUUGCAUUCUUACAGAACCAUGUAUUUGUACCGAACAAAAUUGCUACAUUAAACUUCAAGGUUCACUUAAGCAGCUUAGAACAACUUGCAAGCCGAUUUUUGCUAUCUCAAAGAAGCCAUUCAGACAGAUCCAGUGGUUUAAUUAAUUCUAAAUGCAAAAUAACUCUGCUUUGCUGAAUAUAGAUGGACGUUCAAGACAGCAGGUGCAGCCAAAAGUAGUGCCAAAUCCAAUAAAGUUUUAUUUUCCAAUGGAACAAAUAAA